CACACGGCGGGUGCUAACGUCCGUCGUGAAGAGGGAAACAACCCAGACCGCCAGCUAAGGUCCCAAAGUCAUGGUUAAGUGGGAAACGAUGUGGGAAGGCCCAGACAGCCAGGAUGUUGGCUUAGAAGCAGCCAUCAUUUAAAGAAAGCGUAAUAGCUCACUGGUCGAGUCGGCCUGCGCGGAAGAUGUAACGGGGCUAAACCAUGCACCGAAGCUGCGGCAGCGACGUUUAUGCGUUGUUGGGUAGGGGAGCGUUCUGUAAGCCUGCGAAGGUGGCCUGUGAGGGUUGCUGGAGGUAUCAGAAGUGCGAAUGCUGACAUAAGUAACGAUAAAGCGGGUGAAAAGCCCGCUCGCCGGAAGACCAAGGGUUCCUGUCCAACGUUAAUCGGGGCAGGGUGAGUCGACCCCUAAGGCGAGGCCGAAAGGCGUAGUCGAUGGGAAACGGGUUAAUAUUCCCGUACUUGGUGUUACUGCGAAGGGGGGACGGAGAAGGCUAUGUUGGCCGGGCGACGGUUGUCCCGGUUUAAGCGUGUAGGUGUGUGUUCCAGGUAAAUCCGGUUCACUUUAACACUGAGGCGUGAUGACGAGGCACUACGGUGCUGAAGCAACAAAUGCCCUGCUUCCAGGAAAAGCCUCUAAGCAUCAGGUAACAUCAAAUCGUACCCCAAACCGACACAGGUGGUCAGGUAGAGAAUACCAAGGCGCUUGAGAGAACUCGGGUGAAGGAACUAGGCAAAAUGGUGCCGUAACUUCGGGAGAAGGCACGCUGACACGUAGGUGAAGUGAUUUACUCAUGGAGCUGAAGUCAGUCGAAGAUACCAGCUGGCUGCAACUGUUUAUUAAAAACACAGCACUGUGCAAACACGAAAGUGGACGUAUACGGUGUGACGCCUGCCCGGUGCCGGAAGGUUAAUUGAUGGGGUCAGCGCAAGCGAAGCUCCUGAUCGAAGCCCCGGUAAACGGCGGCCGUAACUAUAACGGUCCUAAGGUAGCGAAAUUCCUUGUCGGGUAAGUUCCGACCUGCACGAAUGGCGUAAUGAUGGCCAGGCUGUCUCCACCCGAGACUCAGUGAAAUUGAACUCGCUGUGAAGAUGCAGUGUACCCGCGGCAAGACGGAAAGACCCCGUGAACCUUUACUAUAGCUUGACACUGAACAUUGAGCCUUGAUGUGUAGGAUAGGUGGGAGGCUUU
rnacentral:rRNA from 1 species